AUUUCUUUAGCUUAAACGCACCAAAGCAUAACUCUGAAGAAGUUAAUAUCUUAAGAAAUA
rnacentral:tRNA from 1 species